AAGCACUGUUAUGGCUAGGGGGUCAUCGCGACUUACCAAACCAUGGCAAACUCUGAAUACCGUCAAGUGCGAGUAAGGCAGACAGACAGUGGGUGCUAACGUCCAUUGUCAAGAGGGAAACAACCCAGACCGCCAGCUAAGGUCCCCAAGACACAGUUAAGUGGGAAACGAAGUGGGAAGGCAUAGACAGCUAGGAGGUUGGCUUAGAAGCAGCCACCCUUUAAAGAAAGCGUAAUAGCUCACUAGUCGAGUCGUCCUGCGCGGAAGAUGUAACGGGGCUCAAACUGUGCACCGAAGCUGCGGAUAUCGAAAGAUAUGGUAGGGGAGCGUUCUGUAGGUCUGUGAAGGUGUCUUGUAAAGGAUGCUGGAGAUAUCAGAAGUGCGAAUGCUGACAUGAGUAGCGAUAAAGGGAGUGAAAAGCUCCUCGCCGAAAGCCCAAGGUUUCCUACGCAACGUUCAUCGGCGUAGGGUGAGUCGGCCCCUAAGGCGAGGCUGAAAAGCGUAGUCGAUGGGAAACAGGU
rnacentral:rRNA from 1 species